CUCGCCCGGCGCGGGCAUGGGCGCGCAGGGAGUGUCCUGAAUGUCACUGAAAACCAUCAUCUUUACUUUCAAAUUACUAGCUGUGGAGCCUCCCGGUGUCCUCGGUGUCCAACAGAAGGCCGACCUACGGAAGCGUUUUAUUAUAAGAGUGUAUUUGGGCCGAAACUUGAGGACAUGCCCGGAGCAAUCUCCCCGAUUGAGAACAGGCUGCAGAGAAUGGCAGUUUCGUGGCUCGCCUUAUACAUCGCACCGGAGGGAGCAUCAGUGACUAAGUUUUCAAGGAAGGAGUCCACGCUUGUCCCAGUUUACGUGGGCACAGUGACUAAGCGUAACCCUGUGGUGCUCUUUCACUCAGUGCUCUCAGACUGGUGAGUGUUCAGGUGCAUUGCAGUUCUGAUGCCGAACCCAGAGUGCACCUUGUCUGAGUGGGAAAUGGUGAAGGAGCCAAGGAAAGUAGGAGUGUCCCGUGUUUUCCUGAGUAACUUGAUUAGAAUCAAGUGCAGGAUUUCUGGAGGCAAUCAUUCAGGAUCCACAGGGAGAAAGACGAGUUGGACAGCACCCUGACCCCCUUUGUUGGGUGCCCGUGAGCUCUGUUUCUCAAUAGCAGGUUUUGCACUAUUAGUGUGUAAGAAGUUUACAAGGCCACCCAUUUUGCCACUGUUCCUUUUCUGCCCCUGUGGAUUAAGUGUGGAUUUAAACCCUGGAGCUGCAUUUCCAGGGAGGGUAGAGAAUUUUCCCAUCCAAACCAGGGCUGUUGACACAGGAGUUCUAAAACCUUUCAGAAUUCCAGAAGGAAGGUGCAGGUGGUUAGAAACUUACUAACAUACCUAAAGCACUUUCUCAUUCCCCAUAAGGAAAAUCAGCAAUGUAAUCAACCAUAAAAAUAAUUACAGAACAGUGUCACUCAUGUCUCUCUUACUUGUGGGUUGUAAAAUAUAAUAAGCCAUUUUUUCAGAGCAGUUUUAGGUUUACAGCAAAAUUGAGCAGAAAGUACAGGGAUUCCCCAUAUGCCCCUGCCCCCACCUAGGCCCAGCCUCCCCACCAUCAACAUCCCCAGCAGAGUGAAGCAUUCGUUGCAUUCGAUGAACCUGCACUGAGACAUCAUCUUCGCCCAGAGUCCAGAGUCCACCUUAGGUUCACUCUCGGCGUUGGACAUUCUGUGGGUCUGGACAACUGUGUGAUGGCACGUUUCCACCACUACAGCAUCGCACAGAGGGGUUCACUGCCCUAAAAUUCCUGUGUCUGCCUGUUCAUUCCUCCCCCUUCCCCUGGACAGCCACUGGUGUUUUUGUUGUUUUUAUAGUUUUGUCUUUUUCAGAAUGUCAUAGAAUUGGAAUUAUAUAGUUUGUACCCUUUUCAGAUUGGUUUCUUUCACUUAGUAACGUGCAGUAAGUUUCCUACAUGUCUUCUCGUGACUUGUGAGUUCAUUUCUUUUUAGCACUAAAUAAUAUUCCAUUGUCUGGAUAUACCACAGUUUAUUAAUCCAUUCACCUACU